UCCCAGGUAGCUUAGAGGUAAAGAAUCUGCCUGCCAGUGUAGGAGAUGCGGAUUCGAGCCCUGGCCUGGGAA
rnacentral:tRNA from 1 species